UAAUACGAGGGGGGCAAGCGUUGUUCGGAAUUAUUGGGCGUAAAGGGCGCGUAGGCGGUCUGACAAGUCUGAUGUGAAAUCUCUGGGCUCAACCCAGAGUCUGCAUUAGAAACUGUCGGGCUUGAGUAUGGGAGAGGUGCGUGGAAUUUCCGGUGUAGCGGUGAAAUGCGUAGAUAUCGGAAGGAACACCUGUGGCGAAAGCGGCGCACUGGACCAUAACUGACGCUGAGGCGCGAAAGCUAGGGGAGCAAACAGGAUUAGAUACCCUGGUAGUCCUAGCCCUAAACGAUGAUUGCUUGGUGUGACAGGUACCCAAUCCUGUCGUGCCGAAGCUAACGCGAUAAGCAAUCCGCCUGGGGAGUACGGUCGCAAGGCU
rnacentral:rRNA from 1 species